GAUGAACGCUAGCUACAGGCUUAACACAUGCAAGUCGAGGGGCAGCAUUAAAGUUUGCUUGCAAACUUUAGAUGGCGACCGGCGCACGGGUGAGUAACACGUAUCCAACCUGCCGAUAACUCGGGGAUAGCCUUUCGAAAGAAGGAUUAAUACCCGAUGGUAUAUUUUCACCGCAUGGUGAAACUAUUAAAGAAUUUCGGUUAUCGAUGGGGAUGCGUUCCAUUAGGCAGUUGGUGAGGUAACGGCUCACCAAACCUUCGAUGGAUAGGGGUUCUGAGAGGAAGGUCCCCCACAUUGGAACUGAGACACGGUCCAAACUCCUACGGGAGGCAGCAGUGAGGAAUAUUGGUCAAUGGGCGCGAGCCUGAACCAGCCAAGUAGCGUGAAGGAUGACGGCCCUAUGGGUUGUAAACUUCUUUUAUAUGGGAAUAAAGUUUGGUAUGUAUACCAUUUUGUAUGUACCAUAUGAAUAAGGAUCGGCUAACUCCGUGCCAGCCGCCGCCGUAAUAC
rnacentral:rRNA from 1 species